UACGAAGGGGGCUAGCGUUGUUCGGAAUUACUGGGCGUAAAGGGCGCGCAGGCGGCUUGGACAGUCAGGCGUGAAAGCCCCGGGCUCAACCCGGGAACAGCGCUUGAUACUGCCAGGCUCGAGAUCGGGAGAGGUGAGUGGAAUUCCCAGUGUAGAGGUGAAAUUCGUAGAUAUUGGGAAGAACACCAGUGGCGAAGGCGGCUCACUGGACCGAUACUGACGCUGAGGCGCGAAAGCGUGGGGAGCAAACAGG
rnacentral:rRNA from 1 species